rnacentral:misc_RNA from 1 species
UGCAUCGAACUGCUUCCCUCACUUUCGAUCAGUUGUUGCUCCACGAGAUAAACGUUGGACGCAAGACAUGGGUUCCUGUGUUGCAUACCUAUUGCGACGGAAAUGUGUGCCUUCGAUCGUCCCUUCCAUCACGGCGUCCUCACGGAUGCUCGGUUGGACCGGAUAGUGGGGCUCGUGUUCCACGAACGUCGUCUCAUUCGACCGUUCGGAUGGACCACGGGUGCCCACUCGUUCUCUCGGAUGGGGAAAUCUCUUGAUGGGCGUGGGGUCAUUGGCCCUUGGUCCCUAAUCGUUAAGCGUUUAUCGCUUCACCGGAAUGACGAUCUCGCCUUGUCCUUGACCACGCGAAGCCCUCGGGCAUCGCGACGGAUCAUGCUCGGCGGACGUCGUGAAGGAAUGC